CUAGCGGGCGGGCGGCUGAGCGGUGCCACCCGGCCGGCGGGCGAGUCUGCGUGCGAGGUGCUGCUUCUCACGCUCCGCACGCUUCUGUUAACCUUGGGAGAGGCUCUUUUUUCCCAGCCCCUCGUCUGACUUGCGGCCCCUUCUGAACUCUGGCUCUGCUCACCUCGCUGCCCUGCUUUUGCGCUCAUGCGGCCGACCGCGGCGUCCCGUUGGCACCGUGUGUGGCGGGCCCCGGGAGGCGCGAGAGGCAGCGGGGCCCGGCCACCUACCGCCCCUUUCUGCCUCCGGCCUCCGAGAUGAUUUCCCAGUUUGGGGGGGAAUGAGGGAGGGGAGUAGGCUGGCUGGCUUGGGAGGAGGAGCUGUUGAGGUUAAAAGGCAGAUGGAAUGCUGUCAUUGUCUUGAUUUGUAUUAUAGAUUCUUAAUUGGGAGGACUCGCUUUUGGAUAUGAUUCAGCUAUUCUUCUCCUUAGUCACACACAGACAUCAGAGUCUCUCCAGGUCUCGAAACGGAUGCCCAAAGAAAGGCCUGGAACUGUAUCCCUAUAAGGGAUGUCUGUGUGUGUUUGCUAAAUUAUGGAUUGAAAUAUUGAUGACAAGAGUCGUCUUGGGGAUUUGUAGUUAAUUUAUUCCACACAGAUACCUAUGAUUUUUCUUUUCUUUUCCUUU
rnacentral:lncRNA from 1 species